GGGGCCGUCGUCUAGCUUGGCAGGAUGCGGGGCUUGGGACCGCUCCUGGGAGAAGGCGUGGGUUCCCGAGCGGCAAGAGCCCCCGUGGUCCCGGGUUCAAAUCCCGGCGGCCCCACCA
rnacentral:tRNA from 1 species